rnacentral:rRNA from 1 species
UACGUAGGGUGCAGGCGUUAAUCGGAAUUACUGGGCGUAAAGCGUGCGCAGGCGGUUUGCUAAGACAGGUGUGAAAUCCCCGGGCUUAACCUGGGAAUUGCGCUUGUAACUGGCAGGCUAGAGUGUGGCAGAGGGGGGUGGAAUUCCACGUGUAGCAGUGAAAUGCGUAGAUAUGUGGAGGAACACCGAUGGCGAAGGCAGCCCCCUGGGCCUGCACUGACGCUCAUGCACGAAAGCGUGGGGAGCAAACAGG